AGCGAACGCUGGCGGCAGGCUUAACACAUGCAAGUCGAGCGGGCACUUUCGGGUGUCAGCGGCGGACGGGUGAGUAACGCGUGGGAACGUGCCCUCUGGUUCGGAAUAACUCAGGGAAACUUGAGCUAAUACCGGAUACGCCCUUUUGGGGAAAGGCUUGCUGCCGGAGGAUCGGCCCGCGUCUGAUUAGCUAGUUGGUGAGGUAACGGCUCACCAAGGCGACGAUCAGUAGCUGGUCUGAGAGGAUGAUCAGCCACACUGGGACUGAGACACGGCCCAGAAUCCUACGGGAGGCAGCAGUGGGGAAUAUUGGACAAUGGGCGCAAGCCUGAUCCAGCCAUGCCGCGUGAGUGAUGAAGGCCUUAGGGUUGUAAAGCUCUUUUAUCCGGGACGAUAAUGACGGUACCGGAGGAAUAAGCCCCGGCUAACUUCGUG
rnacentral:rRNA from 1 species